rnacentral:rRNA from 1 species
UAGGGAAUCUUCGGCAAUGGGGGGAACCCUGACCGAGCAACGCCGCGUGAGUGAAGAAGGUUUUCGGAUCGUAAAGCUCUGUUGUUAAGGAAGAACGAGUGUGAGAAUGGAAAGUUCAUGCUGUGACGGUACUUAACCAGAAAGGGACGGCUAACUACGUGCCAGCAGCCGCGGUAAUACGUAGGUGGCAAGCGUUGUCCGGAUUUAUUGGGCGUAAAGCGAGCGCAGGCGGUCAAUUAAGUCUGAUGUGAAAGCCCCCGGCUCAACCGGGGAGGGUCAUUGGAAACUGGUUGACUUGAGUGCAGAAGAGGAGAGUGGAAUUCCAUGUGUAGCGGUGAAAUGCGUAGAUAUAUGGAGGAACACCAGUGGCGAAGGCGACUCUCUGGUCUGUAACUGACGCUGAGGCUCGAAAGCGUGGGGAGCGAACAGG